AACCAAUGGCCUCCUGAGCGUGCGUUGCGCUCUUGGGAUUUCCUGAGAGUAUGUCUGCUUCAGUGCUUAA
rnacentral:rRNA from 1 species